rnacentral:lncRNA from 1 species
GUUUCUUGCAUCCACAAGCUAAACAAUGGUGCUUUGUCCCAAGUCUCUCCCAGGAUGGGUCAACCUAGAGGAAAAUAAAGCACAAGGGCCCUCGCGUGGAAUUUAGCCUCAGGGCUCCGGAACCAUGGGAUGCUCCGGCCUUCGGAAGGACACUCUCUGGCCUCCAGCUUCCCAAGGACGGGCUCACGUGCUGCCCCUCGCGAGGGCUGGGAGCCGCAUCAGCACAGUCUGUUAAUCGCCCUUGGCACAGCCGAGCAAGCAGCUCCGGGAAGCCAAUUAGUGGAACAAUGUCUAGAAGACUGAGCACCACAUAACAUCAGAGGCAAGGGGCGAUGGCACCUUAUCAGCCAGAGCCAACCUGUUAGCACAGCUUUGAAGACGUUUCUAAGAAUAGGCUGGAAAAAUCAUUAAACUCGACAUGCAGCCUUUCUCCAGCCCUGGCCCUCCACAGUCACCACGCAGCCGGGGGCCUCAUACUCAGUAGGUGCUGGAGGAAGUUUUUAGAUACGCAAGAGAAAAAACACGUUAUGAUUUCUGUUUUGCACCCAGAGCCUCUCCAUCUGUAUGGACUCCUUCCUUCCCCUCAGGAUUCAAACCAAGCCCUCGUUCCCCGCUCACAGUCCGUCUCCUCCUGUCUCUCCCCACCAGGCACAAAGCUCUGGAAAGAAUGAUUCUCGCCCAUACCCUGUAUUGUAUUACCCUCCAAUACCUGACUCUGCUCCGGCCCCACCACGCCUCCGAAACCGCCCUGGCCAAGAUUUCCAAAGACCUUCUCAACCUUGAGUAAGCCCGUCUCGGAUGUGCACUGAACUUGGCUCUCGGCCGUGGUCAGGGCCACUGACCUCCCUUCCUCUCUCCUCUGUUCCCUGCUCCGGACAGCACUCCCUCCCCAUUUCCUUCCUGCCCCUGGACGGCAGCUCCGCCUCAGUCAGCUCUGCUCUUUGCUGGCUGUUGCUUAAAUGGGUGAGGAAGCCGCAACAAGUCAUGGCAAAAAAUUAAAAAAAGAAAUGGAUAACCAGAAAGAAAGAAAAAAAGAAAAGAAUGAAAAAAGAAAGACAGAAAGAAAGAAAGAAAAGAAAAGAAAAAAGAAAGGAAGAAAGAAAGAAAGAGAGAGAGAAAGAGAAAGAAAGAAAUCUUAAAAAACAAAAAACAAAAAAAAAAAAAAACAGGACUCUUUGGCACAUUUUUGUUCUUCCUGUUGACACUCUUCCUGGGCGACGAAAAAUUUACUUCGAAUUCAAUUACCACCCAUAUGCGGGUGCCUCCUACAGCCACGUCCAGUCUGGGCCCCUCUUAGCUCUGGAUGCAGAAGCUCCCAGGUCUACACACCUGGCAGGCAGGAUGUGUGGGUCUAGACCUCAGAGCCUGCAUCUCCUCCCUGUCUCCGAAGGAUGGUGAAGAUAAUGGAACCACUUCUUUCUGCUCGCCAGGCACCUGGGAAGGUUAUAGUUCCACCACGGCCUGCCAGAAGUUAAACUGCCCUUCCUUUCUGGGCAAAGAGAGACUUUUUUUUUCAUUGCAUGGCAAUAGGACCUGCAGGCUAUGAGGAGAAAAUGCCAGAGUUGGGCCACAUGGGCUUCUCGCUCCUGCAUUUGUUCUCCGUACUUUUUCAAAGCCAUCGGGAGAAU